UACGUAGGGGGCAAGCGUUGUCCGGAUUUAUUGGGCGUAAAGCGCGUGUAGGCGGCCAGAUAGGUCUGCUGUGAAAACUCGAGGCUCAACCUCGAGCUGUCGGCGGAAACCAUCCGGCUAGAGUCCGGAAGAGGAGAGUGGAAUUCCUGGUGUAGCGGUGAAAUGCGCAGAUAUCAGGAAGAACACCCGUGGCGAAAGCGGCUCUCUGGAACGGUACUGACGCUGAGACGCGAAAGCGUGGGGAGCGAACAGG
rnacentral:rRNA from 1 species